CCUACGGGCGGCAGCAGUAGGGAAUCUUCCACAAUGGGCGAAAGCCUGAUGGAGCAACGCCGCGUGGGUGAAGAAGGUCUUCGGAUCGUAAAACCCUGUUGUUAGAGAAGAAAGUGCGUGAGAGUAACUGUUCACGUUUCGACGGUAUCUAACCAGAAAGCCACGGAUAACUACGUGCACGCAGCCGCGGUAAUACGUAGGUGGCAAGCGUUAUCCGGAUUUAUUGGGCGUAAAGAGAACGCAGGCGGUCUUUUAAGUCUGAUGUGAAAGCCUUCGGCUUAACCGGAGUAGGGCAUUGGAAACUGGGAGACUUGAGUGCAGAAGAGGAGAGUGGAACUCCAUGUGUAGCGGUGAAAUGCGUAGAUAUAUGGAAGAACACCAGUGGCGAAAGCGGCUCUCUGGUCUGUAACUGACGCUGAGGUUCGAAAGCGUGGGUAGCAAACAGGAUUAGAUACCCUUGUAGUC
rnacentral:rRNA from 1 species